UCCUAGCUUUCACUGGCAGUUUUUUUAGAGUGCUCAUCACUUCAAAGUAUGUUAGCAACUAAAAAUGAGGGUUGCGCUCGUUAAAGGACUUAACCAAACAUUUCACAACACGAGCUGACGACAGCCAUGCAACACCUGUAUUUCUUUUCAUUUAAAGCAUCUCUACUUUAAAUUUUCGAUAAUAUGUCAAGAGCUGGUAAGGUUUUGCGCGUAGUGUCGAAUUAAACCACAUGCUCCACCGCUUGUGCGGGCCCCCGUCAAUUCCUUUGAGUUUUAGCCUUGCGGCCGUACUCCCCAGGCGGGGUGUUUAACGCGUUAGCUGUAAUACUGAUUUUCUAUCCAAUAUUUAACACCCAUCGUUUACAGCGUGGACUAC
rnacentral:misc_RNA from 1 species